AUCUCUGUGUGAUAUAACCUUUGUUGUGUGUGAAAGUAAUCUUUUGUGGUAUCUUUUAUGUAUGUAUCAGCAAUGGCAGCUGUUCAUGGUCCUGGCACAGAGGACAGGUUGCAGUGCACAAUUGGAGCAGUCUUCCUGCAAGCCCUGACAAGCCUUAAGCGGUUUUCAAUACAGCAGCGGUGCCACCACGACGGAGCUACAAGAGACCCUAUCAUCAGUGCAAAGUAUAAAAUAACUAGAAAUGCAGUUCUUCCUGAAAAUGCCUUAUUUGAUGUUUCUUUAUUUGUAAUUAUAAAACAUCACUUUCGCAAGGAUUGUACAAAAGGACGAACUAGCUCCAUUUAUUGUCCUAUCGGAACUGAAUUGCUUGACAAUGUAAUGCGUGUUUCCAAAUGCAAGCAUUAUAUACUUGCAGCAUUAUUUAUCGGCCACGAAAGAUUCUGACAUGUAAAAAACAAUGAUCUGUUCGUUGUUGGAAAUGGUCUGAUGGUAUUUCCUUUACAAUGCUGCAAUGUGUGCACACUUUCAUAAUAAUAAUGAAGGGAUUUAUUGCUCUGCUU
rnacentral:lncRNA from 1 species